rnacentral:rRNA from 1 species
CCUACGGGGUGCAGCAGUGAGGAAUAUUGGUCAAUGGACGAGAGUCUGAACCAGCCAAGUAGCGUGAAGGAUGACUGCUCUAUGGGUUGUAAACUUCUUUUAUAUGGGAAUAAAAUGUUCUGCGCGUGGGAUUUUGUAUGUAUCAUAUGAAUAAGGAUCGGCUAACUCCGUGCCAGCAGCCGCGGUAAUACGGAGGAUCCUAGCGUUAUCCGGAUUUAUUGGGUUUAAAGGGAGCGUAGGUGGAUGGUUAAGUCAGUGGUGAAAGUUUGCGGCUCAACCGUAAAAUUGCCGUUGAAACUGGUAGGCUUGAGUACAGUAGAGGUGGGCGGAAUGCGUGGUGUAGCGGUGAAAUGCUUAGAGAUCACGAAGAACUCCGAUUGCGAAGGCAGCUCACUAGACUGCUACUGACACUGAGGCACGAAAGUGUGGGUAGCAAACAGGAUUAGAUACCCGAGUAGUC